UACGGGAGGCAGCAGUGGGGAAUAUUGCACAAUGGGCGAAAGCCUGAUGCAGCUAUGCCGCGUGUAUGAAGAAGGCCUUAGGGCUGUAAAGUACUUUCAUCGGGGAGGAAAAAACAAAACUAAUAAUUUUAUUUCUUGACGUUACCCGAAAAAGAAGCACCGGCUAACUCCGUGCCAGCAGCCGCGGUAAUACGGAGGGUGCUAGCGUUAAUCAGAAUUACUGGGCGUAAAGAGCACGUAGGUGGUUUUUUUAAGUUCAGAUGUGAAAUCCCUGGGCUUAACCUAGGAACUGCAUUUUGAAACUGAAAUACUAGAGUAUCGUAGAGGGAGGUAGAAUUCUAGGUGUAGCGGUGAAAUGCGUAGAUAUCUGGAGGAAUACCUGUGGCGAAAGCGGGCCUCCUAAACGAAUACUGACACUGAGGUGCGAAAGCGUGGGGAGCAAACAGGGAUUAGAUACC
rnacentral:rRNA from 1 species